CGCAGGUUAUCGCUGUGCAGACUGAAGAAUGGCCAUGGCUACAGUUCUGCGAGUCUACUUGUGGUGAGACUAAGGACGAAAGUGAUUGUCUGCGUGCUCAUGGGAUAAAUACCAAAGGCUGGCUCCAAGAACAGAAAAGGCCACAAAGUGGUUUGGUCACAAGGAAGGCUUUUGUGCUCUAUUCUACUCGACCGGUGAACGGACACUUGUGAGUUACAGCUUUUGUUCUUCAAGUCUGCCAGAAGGACUUCUACGAAUGAAGAAACUUCCAGGUCACAUCCAAAAGUCCCACAAAAGAAAGGCCUCACGAAUGUCUAGACUCAAGCCUGUGCUCCAUGGCAGCAUGCAGCGCGGCUCAUUACGCUAGCUGUGGUGAAUGCAGGUCUGCUGGGCAGCUGGAAGAACUUCACCAUCAAAACUAGCCUUGCCUAUGAAUUGCCCCAGAUGAAAAAUGCCAUUCUGCCGUGGCGUGCAUUCAUGGCAACACAGGAACGGUGUCUUUUCUGGGAGUGUGGGGUUCGCUUGACACAUUGCUUGAUAGUGUGUAAAGAAGUGGCUUCUGGUUGGCUAACGAGCAUUCAGUGGCGCAAAGGAUGCUGCGAAGAUAGCGCAAUGCUUGUCAUCUUGUAAGCAGCCAGUGGAAAAACUCUGGAGGUUGACUGCUGUGUCAACCACUGCCAAAAGUGCUCUAUCUGCGAGUUUCCCCCGGUUUGGUGCUAAUUUGGGAUAAUAGUACUAAAAUGAGCAAGUAUUCUGAGUGCGAACAGGUGAGUGUGUGGCAAAUAUACUAAAACACGAUAGAGGGCACUUUGUGGUGGCUGCUAAAAUGUACAGGGUGCUCCACUAAAUGUCAGCACGCUUACUUUGCUAAUCCUUGUAAAGACUGCAUUUAAGUGCUUAUUGUGGGCCGUCUGCCAGUGCAGGAUGAGUCUGCCUACAGUGCCCAGCUGUUGCUCCAUGCAAAAUAUUACCGCUUUUCUAUUCACUUGUGUCUCUGUGCCUGCAGCAUACAAAAUCAAGUCGCAGCAAAAUGUGAUUUUAAAAAAUGGUGCAGCUCUGUGCUGUGCUGUGACUGCUACAAUGUCAAGCAAUUGGUUCUGUCAUAUAUUACACAUAGUGGAAGUGACAGCAGUUGGUAGAAAAGCCUCGUCCUUUCCAGUUUAUUUUAGUUGUACCAGCCGAGUGUUGGUGGAAUUGGAGUUUGAAGCUGGUUGCCCCAUGCUCGUGUGUUGCCUGUCAUAGUGCUCACAGUAUCACAUAGUGUAAUGGUUUCCCCAUUUUUUGUAUUUGCGACAUGUUUGCUGUGUGUUGUGUUCACUUGCUUACUUUGAUAUGCCUAGAGACAGUGUGCAUCUGUGUUUCCUAUGACUUCUCUCGAGGAAGCUGCUCAUAGGACCUUACUCAGAGAGUAGGCCACUUCAAAUGUUACAGUAUGAUCAGCACCCACUGUGCUUCCCAAAUGGUAGAAUGAAGAAUGGUCAACUAAAGUUUCCACUAGUGUGGGCAGCAAAAGAAGAAACUUGAGGGAUUGUGCUAUAAGUGAGAGGAAAAGAACACCAAAUGUUUUGUCCAUAGACGAGACGGAAGGCAUGUGCCUGGAUGAAUACCGGAUAUUUUUAGGCAGAUUGUGAGAAAGCUCUGAAAGUCAAAAAUAUAUUGGAAUGGAAAUAGAAUGCCAGCUUCUGGUGGAGAGGAUUAGUGAAUGCAGAACCUUAUGAGGGCUAAUCAACACUAGUAGUGAACAUUCCAUGACAGUGCUCUGUCUCCCAUAGCUGUAGAUCCGUAGUCCUAGAGCAGAUAGUCCAAAAGAGACAAGUUCCACACUGGCCCAUUACAUUCAUACUGGGUGAAUGACAAAAACUGAAAGCAGGUGGCAUGACUAGUUGCAUCUGGCAGCUGCAAUGGUCAUUCAAACUUUACAUUCAAGGCGUUAGGUGUUACCUAAAACAGGCAUUCAAUGAUAAGCACUUGCCCGCAUAAUUAGAGGUCCCUGUUGAAGUGAAGUUCAACUGCUGUGCACAGUGAUCUGGCUGGGCCGCACUUCCGUCAUAGCCGAUGCCACAGUGAUUCUCUUCUGUGUUUUCGGUGCUGUGGGGAGAUAUUUCAAGGUCAAGCAAGAACUAUGGUAGCAAACUAUGAGCACAGCAGUUUUGAAAUGCAGCUUCCUACAGGUUUGAAGCGAACCGGCUAAGACCUAGCCUUCAAUACCUGGCAUGUUGAUCUCCGGUGAUUGGCCACAUUGCUAUGUGGCUGCUAGAAAAAGUCGUAAUUGUGGGCUAUGUCAACAACAUGGGCUGUGCAUUAAUAAAUGACCAAUAGAUGAAUAUAAAAAAACAAUUGGUCUGCAAGAAUAUAACAUAUCUUGUGUUGCAAAAUGAUUGUUGAAUAUUUAAUAAAUAAUGUUAUUGAAACCU